rnacentral:tRNA from 1 species
ACUGGGAUAGUUUAACCAAAACAUCAGUUUGUGGCACCGAAGAUCAGAGCUUUCUGCCCCAGUA